GAUCCUGGCUCAGGAUGAACGCUAGCUACAGGCUUAACACAUGCAAGUCGAGGGGCAGCAUGGUCUUAGCUUGCUAAGGCUGAUGGCGACCGGCGCACGGGUGAGUAACACGUAUCCAACCUGCCGUCUACUCUUGGCCAGCCUUCUGAAAGGAAGAUUAAUCCAGGAUGGGAUCAUGAGUUCACAUGUCCGCAUGAUUAAAGGUUAAGUUUUCCGGUUUACGGACGAUGGGGAGGUG
rnacentral:rRNA from 1 species